CCAGUCAGCUUGGUGUCAUCUGCAAACUUGCUGAGGGUACAGUUUGUCUACGUCAUUAAUGCAGAUAUUAAACAACAGUGGCCCCAAUAUGGACCCUUGUGGGACACCACUCAUCACUGAUGUCCAUUGUGCCUCUAAGCCACUGACCACUACCCUCUGGAUGCAACUGUCCACUCAAUUUCUUAGCCAUGUAACAGUCCACCCAUAGAAUCUAUUGCUCUCCAAUUUAGAGAGACUUUAUAGAAGUCCAGAUAAGUGACAUCUGUAGCCAUCUGUAGCCCUUCCCUUGUCCACUGAUGUAGUCACCCCACCAUAGGAGGCCACUGGAUUGAUCAGGCAGGACUUGCCCUUGGUGAAGCUGUGCUGACUGUCUCGAAUCACCUCCCUGUCCUCCAUGUGCCUUAGCACAACUUCUAGGAAGAUCUGUUGCAUGAUCUUCCCAGGUGCAGAAGAGAGGCUGACAGAACAGCACUGCCAGGAUCUGAGCUGCCUUCUGGAGUGGGUCAGAUCACCCAGCCCAUCACCGCCUGCUUAAUGAGCAGAGGGAGACACACAGUCUUUCGGCACCGUGGGAAGCACAGGGCUCUAUGCUUGGCUGGACGGUGUGUGAAGAGUAAAAGGGAGAGAGCUGUUCUCCUUGAUGAAAGAAAAAGGAACUUUCCGGUCUUGCAUGCGCCUCAGAAAGGUUCUUCUCAGAAAGGAGACAUCACAGGAUGAGGCCAAAAUACUCAAGACACUUCGACAAGUUCUCUUUCAAGCUUUGGGGGACUUCUAAGUCAUUAUGAAAUGCACAGACUCUUUCUCUUCUGUCUGUGACAAUAUGAAUUGUCCUGUGAUCCAUAUUGAAAAUAGCAACUGAGAGACAGACGAUCAAAAGUCUAUCAGAAAAUUAGCAGUUUUUAAUUCCUUGUAAUUUUUAAAUGGCAUAGAAUAAAUUUAAGGGGACAAAUAAGAGCCUCAGAAAUUUAUUAAAUGCAAACUGAGCUGGACUGAAUAUGAUAUCUCCUACUGAGACCCCUAAAAUGCAAAAGCCCCUCUAGAAGCUAGGAACAAGGGCUGGGCAGUGGAAAGAGAGAAAUCAGCAUUCCUUGGCCAAGGAAGCAGAUGUUAAUCAUGAAAUGAUUGUAGACUUGAAGCAUUAUUCUUCUGCAGGUA